rnacentral:rRNA from 1 species
GACGAACGCUGGCGGCGUGCUUAACACAUGCAAGUCGAACGGAAAGGCCCUGCUUGCAGGGUACUCGAGUGGCGAACGGGUGAGUAACACGUGGGUGAUCUGCCCCGCACUUCGGGAUAAGCCUGGGAAACUGGGUCUAAUACCGGAUAGGAGCCAUUUUUAGUGUGAUGGUUGGAAAGUUUUUUCGGUGUAGGAUGAGCUCGCGGCCUAUCAGCUUGUUGGUGGGGUAAUGGCCUACCAAGGCGGCGACGGGUAGCCGGCCUGAGAGGGUGGACGGCCACAUUGGGACUGAGAUACGGCCCAGACUCCUACGGGAGGCAGCAGGGGGGAAUAUUGCACAAUGGGCGCAAGCCUGAUGCAGCGACGCCGCGGGGGGGAUGACGGCCUUCGGGUUGGAAACUCCUUUCGCUAGGGACGAAGCUUUUUGUGACGGUACCUAGAUAAGAAGCACCGGCUAACUACGUG